CAACAUGAGCAGGGCACGGUGGUGUGACAGAUGCAGCCACUGCCACUCCAGGGCACAAACUGUGCAGUUCUCAGGUUGCAGCUGGGACUGCUGGGUUGGGCGCUCGAUGGGUCCUUGCCAUAAAUAGACAACUGAAACGCUCCAAUCGUACAGACUGGAGGGGUGGUGGAAAUGACUGCCUCCUCUGUGGCUUUCCUGGGGUUUCAAAGCCAGUCUGUAGCUCAAAUGGGACCGCGUAAGAUCAGCCCUGCCUGGGGGAACGCUGAACGGCUGGACA
rnacentral:lncRNA from 1 species